rnacentral:lncRNA from 1 species
UUCACUUAAUAAGAAUCACAUGACUUCGAAACAGUUCCUUUGGUCCUUGCAUUCAUUAGCUGCUAUGCUAGUGCUCAUCAGUUGAGAAGAUGAAUGGGAUUAAUUGCUUUGAAUUUCCCAAAGUUGAAUCUCUUUCUUCUUCCACUCUAUUUAAAGCCUUCACCCCAUCAACUUGUUAUCGAUGGACUGUUUUUAAUUUUGACCUGCACGUAAGAUACAGAACCUGAGGAUGAUAGCCAAUUAGCCAUGAAAUAAAUUACAUAAGGUCGUUUGAUAUUAAUUUCCACUAGCAUUUGAAAUUUAUUUCCGUUUUCAGUUAUCUGAUCAAUUUUGAGAAACACAUAUGCAAUGUGGUUUCUGUUUUAGUUAAAUUUUAAAUUAUUCAUGGAGUAGUACUUAAAAAGAAAGUAACUUUGAGAAGAAUGGGCAAAUAAGGUAAUUCUGUUAUCACUCUAAUUCUCAAUUUAUAAUCACAUAAUUAUAGGCUCAAUUUGUCUCCUAGCCGUUGGAGUCAAUCGUGCAGCUGUAAAUGAGAUAAUUUACUUUCCAUGCAAGGUUAUAACAUUUAAUAGAUGAUUUGUUGCCAGACUUGGUUAUAACAUUUUUCAAAAUCCAGGAGUGAUUGAUGCAAAAUUUAAUGUCAUUGAUUCUGAAAAUCCUUUAGGAUGUUUCUCUUUAUAUAAAACACAAGUGUAAAAAUUAUUCACCCUGCACUCGACACAAAGAUAGUUCAAAAAUGAGCAUGAAAUUCUUAGGUAUACAAAUUGCAGUAGCAUUUACAUUUACGUUCUCACCUUGACCAGCAAAAUUAAUGGCUUUAGAAUUGAGCUCACCCCAAGAACCUCCAUUGAUUCGGCUCUGUUUCCCAAAGACCUUUCUCCAGAAGAAAUACAUCACAGAAUUGCUCAACUCUCCAGAGCUCGCGCUAUUCAUCUUAGAUCCAAUCAAGAACCCGAAACACUAAAAGCACCUGUUCCUCCUUCUCCUUUUGUUAACACCAAUAUAUACAUAACAAAGAUAUCCAUUGGCUCAACACAGUUCUCACCUUACUUGAUAGUGGAUACCGGUAGUGAUGAUACAUGGCUUCAAUGUGAGGGUUGCACAAGUUGCUUUCCAAUCAAGGGAGGAAGCUUUCCUGUCAAGGAAUCAAAAACUUAUCGCGGCUUAGCUUGUGAGCACGCUUUGUGUCCCCAAAUUGUGUAAUAAAGGUCUAUGCUCAUACGAUUGGAA